rnacentral:rRNA from 1 species
UACGUAGGUGGCAAGCGUUGUCCGGAUUUACUGGGCGUAAAGAGCGUGUAGGCGGCUUUACAGGUCCGUUGUGAAAACUCGAGGCUCAACCUCGAGACGCCGGUGGAAACCGUAAAGCUAGAGUCCGGAAGAGGAGAGUGGAAUUCCUGGUGUAGCGGUGAAAUGCGCAGAUAUCAGGAGGAACACCCGUGGCGAAAGCGGCUCUCUGGGACGGUACUGACGCUGAGACGCGAAAGCGUGGGGAGCAAACAGG